rnacentral:rRNA from 1 species
AAUAGAUACCCAGGUAGUCCACGCCGUAAACGAUGAGUGCGUAAGUGUUAGAGGGUUUCCGCCCUUUAGUGCUGCAGCUAACGCAUUAAGCACUCCGCCUGGGGAGUACGGCCGCAAGGCUGAAACUCAAAGGAAUUGACGGGGGCCCGCACAAGCGGUGGAGCAUGUGGUUUAAUUCGAAGCAACGCGAAGAACCUUACCAGGUCUUGACAUCCUCUGCCAACCCGUAGAGAUAGGGCGUUCCCCUUCGGGGGACAGAGUGACAGGUGGUGCAUGGUUGUCGUCAGCUCGUGUCGUGAGAUGUUGGGUUAAGUCCCGCAACGAGCGCAACCCUUGAUCUUAGUUGCCAGCAUUCAGUUGGGCACUCUAAGGUGACUGCCGGUGACAAACCGGAGGAAGGUGGGGAUGACGUCAAAUCAUCAUGCCCCUUAUGACCUGGGCUACACACGUGCUACAAUGGAUGGUACAAAGAGCUGCGAACCCGCGAGGGUAAGCGAAUCUCAUAAAGCCAUUCUCAGUUCGGAUUGU